CUCUACUCUGAGGUGGUACAAAGAAGCCAGACAACAUGACUGAAUGGGAAGAAAAGCAAAGAGGCAAAGACAGGCGGGUAAAUUUCAGUUAGACUUCUGCAACCACUCAAUAUUACAAAAGCAUCGUGGUCAGGCAAAAUUUCUAUGAGAGGCCCCUAACAUUCCAUACUCUAAUCACCAGACCUGUGAAUGUGACAUCACUUCAGGGUUAUAUUAUGAGGCACAGUUUACCUUACAAAACAGAAAUCAUUCAAGUGGGCCUGAUCUAAUCACAGGAGACUUUAGUGGAAAAGACACUUCUCUGGCUGGUAGCAGAGAGGAAGCUAGAAGAGGAAGUCCCAAAUAUGCAUGAGCAGGGCUUGAUGCACAGUUGCUGCUUUGAAAUUGGAGGGGCCACAAGGAGCUGAGGGCACACCCCUGACAGACAGACAGCAAGGACACAGGGACUCAGACCCACAAACACAAGCAACUAGAUGUUCCAACACUUGAAUGGGCUUGAAAGCAGAUUUUUCCUUAGAGCUUCCAGACAAGAGCCGACACCUUGUUUUUGACCUUGUAUGCCGAGAGCCCAGGUGAGCCCACCUGGGCUUCUGACCUAGAGAGCUGCGAACUACCAACAGGAAAAGUAGAAAGGUCAAAAUAGCUGUUUCCAUCUUAAGUCACCAUUAUACACUUAGACUUCUUAAGCGCCCCUUCAGACAGGAUUUCCAGCUUUCACCUCCUAGAAAAGGCUGGCAUUUGGAAGGAACCACCUCAUUCGAGGAAGUUUGAAAAGCUCCAAAACUUGUAUUCUAUAACUCAGGAACAUAUCAAAGCCCUAAUGUGCUGUGAAAAUGCUUUUUGAUUCUUGAAAUGUUGCUUCUCUGUAAUUCUAAGUCCCUCCUGUCAGUUUGUCAGCAAUAAAAACAUCAUUAGGU